ensembl:lncRNA
AUGUCACAUCACACACACUCACUCGCACGCUCUCUCUCUUUCUCACACACACACUCGCACACUCACUUACACAAACACAAACAUACACACACUCGCACACACACAAACAUUCGCACACUCACUCUCACACACACACACACACACACACAAACAUUCACACACUCACUCGCACACUCUCACACACACACUCACUCGCACAUUCACUCGCACACACACAAACACACUCACUCGCACACACACAAACGUUCACACACUCACUCACACACUCACUCGCACACACACAAACAUUCACACACUCACUCGCACACUCACUCUCACACACACACAAACAUACACACACUCACUCGCACACUCACUCACUCACACACACUCACUCGCACACACACAAACAUUCACACUCACACACAAACACACUCACUCACACACACACACACUCACUCGCACACACACACACACUCACUCACUCACACACUCACACACAAACACACUCACUCGCACACACACAAACAUACACACACUCACUCACUCGCACACACACAAACAUACACACACUCCCUCACUCGCACACACACAAACAUACACACACUCACUUGCACACUCACUCGCACACACACACACUCACUCACUCACAAACAUACACACACACACUCACUCGCACACUCACUCUCACACACUCACAAACAUACACACACUCACUCGCACACACACUCACUCGCACACACACAAACAUUCACACACUCACACACAAACAUACACACACUCACUCGCACACUCACACACAAACACACUCACUCGCCCACACACAAACAUACACACACUCACUCACUCGCACACACACAAACAUACACACACUCACUUGCACACUCACUCUCACACACUCACUCACACACACACACACAAACAUACACACACUCACUCACACACACUCACUCGCACACACACAAACAUACACACACUCACUCGCACACUCCCACACACACACACACUCACACACACUCACACACUCACACACAAACAUACACACACUCACACAAACACACACACACUCACACACACACCCACACACACACACUCACACAAACUCACUCGCACACACACAAACCUACACACACUCACUCGCACCCACACAACCAUACACACACUCACUCGCACACUCACUCACUCACACACACACACACAUACACACACACACACACACACACUAACACUCGCACACACUCUCACACACACUCACUCUCACAAACACACACACACUCACUCACUCGCACACAGACAAACAUACACACACAAACAUACACACACUCACUUGCACACACACACAAACAUACACACUCACGCGCACACUCUCACACACACACACAAACACACACUCACACACUCACUCUUACUCGCACACUCAUACAAACACUCUCACUAUCUCUCUCACACACACACACUCUCACAAACACACACACACUCACUCACACGCACACACACACACAUACACACACCCACUCGCACCCUCUCACACACACACACACUCACGCACACACUCACUCUCUCACACACACACACACAAACACUCGCACACUCUCUCACACCCCCUCACUCGCACACACACAAACAUACACACUCACGCGCACACUCUCACACACACACCCACUCUCACAAACAUACACACACUCCCUCGCACACUCUCACACACACACACACUCACGCACACACACACACACACACUCUCACUCGCACACACACACACAAACAUACGCUCACUCACUCACUCUUACUCGCACACUCAUACAAACACUCUCACUAUCACGCUCACACACACACACACUCUCACAAACACACACACACUCACUCGCACACUCACUCUCACACACUCACACACAUACACACACUCACCCGCACACACACACACAUACACACACACACACACACACACACUAA